ensembl:snoRNA
AAAGCAGGUUGCAAUUACAGUGCUUCAUUCUGUGGGAGUACUGCCAUUAUCCUGCUGACAGUAAAGUUUACAAUACUUUGGAAUUAUUUAUCCUGGUCACUGAAGUGAUGGGGAUGCUCUGAAGUACUGACAGCU